rnacentral:rRNA from 1 species
GUUGGUGUUUAUUAGGGCGAGGGUCCACCCGUUCCCAUUCCGAACACGGAAGUUAAGCUCGCUUCUGCCGAAAAUACUUGUCUGGAG